CCUCCCACUGCAAGGAUCCUGCGAGUGCUCUGUGCACUUGUGCAAGCUGGAGAAGUAAUUUGGUCAGCUCGGUGCUGUGUGGCCAAAGGGGUAUCAGAUCUUUGAGCUACGAGGAACACAUCCCCGAAGGAAGAAGGAGAAGAGCUUCCAACCUGAUUUAAUGUCUCUGCAAUGGGGAUGAGCGAGACACUUGCAGCUUUGGUGCUUUAUUUUCUUUAUCUCCU